GAAUUUUGGUGGAAUAAUCGUGCAAUGUAUUGUCAAUAACGCAAGUACUUUUGUAUAACUUUUUGCCAUUAUUUUGUCAUUACAAAACUCCAAAAAGUAAAAAACGUAGCUAAGUUAUUAUGACAUAAAAAUAAGAUAGUUAAACAUAGUAUGAAUAUUCAUGGGUCUCUUCUAGCUUAACUAAAGUCAUGAGUUUGAUCAUUGAUAUGC
rnacentral:lncRNA from 1 species